UCUCUUACACGGACAAGUAAUGGUGUCAUCUUUAGAGCUGCCUGCAGUCACUGCCAGCUGUGAUUCACUGUUGGCCAGUUGCUAAAUUUAUUUUAUGUUUUCCUAGCAAGGCAACAAGAUUCUACCAGAGGAGUAUUCAGUAAGAUAGAAAAAUACAGCUGGAACAGAAAGAAAACAAAAAAGCAAGCUUUUUGACAUUGGUGUAGCUGAAGGAACAUAGGACAGUCGAGGAUUACCCCACCUAACUCAUGCUUUGCUCUAGAUAGGAUGUAGAGAUGAUUUCAGCUUUCUAAGCAGGGAUCACAUGAAAAACAAAUAUUUUAAAUAGAAGAUUAAAGAGCUGGAAGAAGAAAAUUAUGCAGCAAAUAGAUGGUGACUAUCAAGCUACCUUGUUACAGGAGUGUGACAGAUAAUGGCCACUGUCUGAAGGUCUCAUUGGCUGCAGGGACUGGCAUCGUAUGCAGAAAAUGCGGAAAAGCCGGGUUGAGUGAACACGUUCCUACUUAAUAACAACAAAAGGGACAGUUUUGUAUUUUGCUGCAGAUAAAAGCACUUAAAAGGCCGACUCAAAAGGUAAUGUCUGGAGAAUUGUUCCACUGAAUAGACCCACAAACCUAAAUUUAUGUUGCAUCUGUUCUUUAUUACUUAUUGUUUAUGAGCUGUGUGUGCAAAUGGUAAAUGUGUCAAUAAUUUGCUUCACAUUUAGCCUAGUUAUCAUAAUGGAGCUAAUUUAACAUUAUCAUACUAAUAAAAUACCACAAAACUGGACA
rnacentral:lncRNA from 1 species